GGGAAUGUGGCUUAGUGGUAGAGUGCUUGCCUAGCAUGCAUGAAGCCCUGGGUUCAAUACCUCAGUACCA
rnacentral:tRNA from 1 species